UGGCGGACGGGUGAGUAACACGUGAGCAACCUGGCUCUAANAGGGGGACAACAGUUGGAAACGACUGCUAAUACCGCAUAACGUAUCGGGAUGGCAUCUUCCUGGUACCAAAGAUUUUAUCGCUUAGAGAUGGGCUCGCGUCUGAUUAGAUAGUUGGCGGGGUAACGGCCCACCAAGUCGACGAUCAGUAGCCGGACUGAGAGGUUGAACGGCCACAUUGGGACUGAGACACGGCCCAGACUCCUACGGGAGGCAGCAUG
rnacentral:rRNA from 1 species